UACGAAGGGUGCAAACGUUGCUCGGAAUUACUGGGCGUAAAGCGCGUGUAGGCGGACUGGUGUGUCGGAUGUGAAAUCCCCAGGCUCAACCUGGGAACUGCAUUCGAAACUGCCGGCCUUGAGUGGUGGAGAGGGAAGUGGAAUUCCUGGUGUAGAGGUGAAAUUCGUAGAUAUCAGGAGGAACACCAGUGGCGAAGGCGGGUCUCUGGGUAGUAACUGACGCUGAGGAACGAAAGCGUGGGUAGCGAACAGG
rnacentral:rRNA from 1 species